UGAUAACAUUAGGGGAGCCAUGUGGCUGAGACGUGAAUUUCACGGACCCUUGAACCUGAUCUGGUUAACGCCAGCGUAGGAAAAAUGUAUCAGCUAAAAG
rnacentral:ncRNA from 2 species